GGAACUGAUGGUCAAGGCUUUCGAGAAUGUCGGCCUGAGCCAGGCCGACGUCGAAGAGCGGUUCGGCGGUCUCUACCGUGCGUUCCAGUACGGUGCCCC
rnacentral:tRNA from 1 species